rnacentral:rRNA from 1 species
CCUACGGGCGGCAGCAGUGGGGAAUAUUGGACAAUGGGCGAAAGCCUGAUCCAGCCAUGCCGCGUGUGUGAAGAAGGUCUUCGGAUUGUAAAGCACUUUAAGUUGGGAGGAAGGGCAGUUACCUAAUGCGUGAUUGUUUUGACGUUACCGACAGAAUAAGCACCGGCUAACUCUGUGCCAGCAGCCGCGGUAAUACAGAGGGUGCAAGCGUUAAUCGGAAUUACUGGGCGUAAAGCGCGCGUAGGUGGUUAGUUAAGUUGGAGGUGAAAUCCCCGGGCUCAACCUGGGAACUGCAUUCAAAACUGACGGGCUAGAGUAUGGUAGAGGGUGGUGGAAUUUCCGGUGUAGCGGUGAAAUGCGUAGAUAUAGGAAGGAACACCAGUGGCGAGGGCGACCACCUGGACUGAUACUGACACUGAGGUGCGAAAGCGUGGGGAGCAAACAGGAUUAGAUACCUUGGUAGU